UACGUAGGCAGCGAGCGUUGUUCGGAAUUACUGGGCGUAAAGAGUGUGUAGGCGGUGCUCUAAGUUCGGUGUGAAAUCUCCUGGCUUAACUGGGAGGGUGCGCCGGAAACUGGGGUGCUCGAGCGUGGGAGAGGAAAGCGGAAUUCCUGGCGUAGCGGUGAAAUGCGUAGAUAUCAGGAGGAACACCUGUGGUGUAGACAGCUUUCUGGACCAUUGCUGACGCUGAGACACGAAAGCGUGGGUAGCAAACAGG
rnacentral:rRNA from 1 species